GACGAACGCUGGCGGCGUGCUUAACACAUGCAAGUCGAACGCUGAAGCUUGGGUGCUUGCAUCUGGGUGGAUGAGUGGCGAACGGGUGAGUAAUACGUGAGUAACCUGCCCUUGACUCUGGGAUAAGCCUGGGAAACUGGGUCUAAUACUGGAUACUACAUUCUCUCGCAUGGGGGUGUGUGGAAAGGGUUUUACUGGUUUUGGAUGGGCUCACGGCCUAUCAGCUUGUUGGUGGGGUAAUGGCCUACCAAGGCGACGACGGGUAGCCGGCCUGAGAGGGUGACCGGCCACACUGGGACUGAGACACGGCCCAGACUCCUACGGGAGGCAGCAGUGGGGAAUAUUGCACAAUGGGCGAAAGCCUGAUGCAGCGACGCCGCGUGAGGGAUGACGGCCUUCGGGUUGUAAACCUCUUUCAGCACGGAAGAAGCGAAAGUGACGGUACGUGCAGAAGAAGCGCCGGCUAACUACGUGCCAGCAGCCGCCGUAA
rnacentral:rRNA from 1 species